rnacentral:rRNA from 1 species
GCCAGCAGCUGUAUCACCCUGCAGCUCUCAACCGGCAGCCCACUGAAGCUGAGCAGGGUUGAGCCUGGUCAGUACCUGGAUGGGAGAGACCUCCUGGGAAGCUAUGGCUGCUGCUGGAA